rnacentral:rRNA from 1 species
AGCGCUACCUUCGGGUGGAGCGGCGGACGGGUUAGUAACGCGUGGGAAUAUACCCUUCACUAUGGAAUAGCCUCGGGAAACUGAGAGUAAUACCAUAUACGCCCUUCGGGGGAAAGAUUUAUCGGUGAAGGAUUAGCCCGCGUAAGAUUAGAUAGUUGGUGGGGUAAUGGCCUACCAAGUCUACGAUCUUUAGCUGGUUUUAGAGGAUGAUCAGCAACACUGGGACUGAGACACGGCCCAGACUCCUACGGGAGGCAGCAGUGGGGAAUCUUAGACAAUGGGCGAAAGCCUGAUCUAGCCAUGCCGCGUGAGUGAUGAAGGUCUUAGGAUCGUAAAGCUCUUUCGCUAGGGAUGAUAAUGACAGUACCUAGUAAAGAAGCCCCGGCUAACUCCGUGCCAGCAGCCGCGGUAAUACGGAGGGGGCUAGCGUUGUUCGGAAUUACUGGGCGUAAAGCGUACGUAGGCGGAUCAGAAAGUAUGGGGUGAAAUCCCAGGGCUUAACCCUGGAACUGCCUCAUAAACUCCUGGUCUUGAGUUCGAGAGAGGUGAGUGGAAUUCCAAGUGUAGAGGUGAAAUUCGUAGAUAUUUGGAGGAACACC